CGUGACCAAUCUGUCUUCGAGAGGGGGACAACCCGGGGAAACCUGGGCUAAUACCGCAUGAUGUUCUCGUUUCACAUGAUUCGAGAACCAAAGGGGGCCUCUGCUUGCAAGCUCUCGCUCGAAGGGGAGGUCGCGUUGUAUCAGCUUGUUGGUGGGGUAAUGGCCUACCAAGGCUACGACGCAUAGCGGGUCUGAGAGGACGACCCGCCACAUUGGGACUGAGAUACGGCCCAG
rnacentral:rRNA from 1 species